rnacentral:tRNA from 1 species
AGUAAAGAAGUAAAAUAACUACAUCUAGUUUCGACCUAGAAUCAAGGAAAUUAUCCUCAUGCUU